rnacentral:rRNA from 1 species
UGGGGAAUUUUGCACAAUGGAGGAAACUCUGAUGCAGCGACGCCGCGUGAGUGAUGAAGAUCUUCGGAUUGUAAAACUCUGUCCUUAGUGAAGAUAAUGACAGUAACUAAGAAGCAAGCCCUGGCUAAAUACGUGCCAGCAGCCGCGGUAAUACGUAUGGGGCAAGCGUUGUCCGGAAUUAUUGGGCGUAAAGGGUACGUAGGCGGUUUAAUAAGUCCUAAUGAAAAGGCUAUGGCUCAACCAUAGUAUGGUUAGGAAACUGUUGAACUUGAGUAGAUGAGGGGAAAGUGGAAUUCCAUGUGUAGCGGUGAAAUGCGUAGAUAUAUGGAGGAACACCAAUGGCGAAGGCAACUUUCUGGAAUCAAACUGACGCUGAGGUACGAAGGCGUGGGGAGCAAACAGG